rnacentral:rRNA from 1 species
CAAUAGCGUAUAUUAAAGUUGUUGCGGUUAAAAAGCUCGUAGUUGGAUUUCUGCUGAGAACGACCGGUCCGCCCUUUGGGUGUGUAUCUGGCUCCUUCUUGGCAUCUUCUUGGUGAACGUUGCUGCACUUGACUGUGUGGAGCGCUACCCAGGACUUUUACUUUGAGGAAAUUAGAGUGUUUCAAGCAGGCAUACGCCUUGAAUACAUUAGCAUGGAAUAAUAAGAUAGGACCUCGGUUCUAUUUUGUUGGUUUCUAGAGCUGAGGUAAUGAUUAAUAGGGAUAGUUGGGGGCAUUCGUAUUUAACCGUCAGAGGUGAAAUUCUUGGAUUUGUUAAAGACGGACUACUGCGAAAGCAUUUGCCAAGGAUGUUUUCAUUGA